GUUUAGGGGUAAACCUGAGAAACCCGAAAGGUCGAAGGGAGAAAUUCAUCGCGUCUCGAAGCAGGCGUCGGACGGUCGCGCGACGGGAUCUCGCCUCGGCGAGGUACCGCGCCGGCCGCUCGUCGAUCCGGCGACGAACGCGUGCACUUUUCUCCUGGUAGGACGUCGCGAUCCGUUGGGCGUCGGUCUAAGGUGCGCGGUGGAGCCCGUUCGAGCCACGCGCUCGAACGGACCCGCGCCACCCGGCUGACUCGCUCAACGGUAUACGAAAGGUUAAAGGCCGCUCUCGGAGCGUUCGACCCGCGGCAAGCGCGUCAGAUGUGACGGCGAUCGGACCCGGUGCCGGUCCCGUUCUCCGACGACUGUUGGCCGCGGCGAUCUCGAACAGACCUCGGACCGAUCUGCGACGCUAUAGCUUUGGGUACUUUCAGGACCCGUCUUGAAACACGGACCAAGGAGUCUAGCAUGUGCGCGAGUCAUUGGGAAUCACUAAACCUAAAGGCGUAAUGAAAGUAAAGGUCCUCCUAGCGGGGACUGAGGGAAGACGGGUGGUUUACCCUUAAAAGUGGCCGCUCCGCACUCCCGGGGCGUCUCUUUCUCAUCGCGWGAAGAGGCGCACCAAGAGCGUACACGCUGGGACCCGAAAGAUGGUGAACUAU
rnacentral:rRNA from 1 species